GGGAGGGGCUGCUUCCUUCCGCGAAGACUGGUGUGUGGUUCUUGGAAGGGCUCCAGGUGCUUGAAAAGGCUGUCUCAGCGGGUGACAGGUGGGUGGAGGACCGGGCGGGGAGGCGCAGGUCCAGGGCCCUCCCUGCCCCCCUAUCCUCCACCGGGUGGGUCUCAAUAUCCCCCGUACACACGCGCACCGCCCCCCCCACAUCCCCCCUCCCACACCCCGUACACACGCGCACCGCCCCCCCCCACAUCCCCCCUCCCACACGCCGGGAGACGUGUUGGUGGCUUUGAGGGCCAGUUGAGAGAGAAGCCACUGGGCUGGGCAGGAGCUGGGCCUGCUGGGCUCUGCCCGUCCUUGACCCUGGGCUCAGCCUGGCUUUGGGUUUGGACGUGAGGACGGACAGAAGAGGGACAGGAAAGCCCAGCAGCCGCUCUGACCUGAGCUGGCCCGAGGGACCAGGAAGAGUUUGUGAUGUGGCUCAAACUGCCUGGGCCACCCCAGCCCCACUUGGGGGGGUGGGCAGCAUCUCUGGGAGGCCCCGCCCUUCUCUGUGGGUGGGGAAGGACCACCCUCCUGGGCGGAUGGGAGAGAGUGUGCCCUACUCAGGACCCAUUCAAGAGCCUCACUGGGAGUUCCCAGCUCGGUGGGUUAAGGCUGGUCCCUCAUUUCCAGCAGAAAACUGUUUUCCUGGACUGUCUUUUUCUUGGCUUACGGAUUUGUGACUGCACUUUCCCAAGAAGUGUUGAAGCUCGGCUCACAUUUUUGUGUGGAGAACCAGCUAACCCCUUCCUCAAAGUUUUUGUGAGGAAAAGUAAUUUAAAUGUUUGAAAAAGAGUUGUAACCUGGUAAAGUGCCUCCGAAGGCUGCUGAGUGCCUCAGAGAGCAGGUACCGCGUGCUUGCUGCGUGUGGGUGUUCGGGCCAGGUACUUUGGGGUUAUGUGUGUCAACGUGACCUGGUCCCUACCUGCCAUCACCUGGGGGGGGGGCUGUGAACAAUUCCUGUCAGUGUUGAUAGGAGACAGUGAGACUGUGCCAUCAACGGUAGUCUCCGUGACCCUGGACCCUCAGAACAAGCCUGCGAAGUAGGUACUAUCAUAUUACCUUCUAUGAGUAUCCCCAUUUAACAGAUGAGAAACUGAGGCCCAGAGGGAUGAAGUAGCUUGUCCAGGAUCAAAUACAUAGCAAAUACUGGAACUGGGAUUUGCAGCUGGCAAUUGAGAAGGAGGCUGGAAUCCAGAGAAGAGGGUUCUGGAGUUCAGAGGGGAGUCCAGCUUCCCACGGGGGGUGGGGGGGGAGGAAGGUGACCUGGGGUGGGUGCAGGCCAGAGCGGGGAACGUGUUUCCUAGGCAGCCUGCAGGGAAGACUGAAAAUGCCCCAUGUUUGGGGGUGGGGGAGACGCUGAUGAGAGUCUGGGGAGCACAGGAGGGGCACAGGGAGAGGUGGAGAUGUGGCACUCAACUGGGGCUCCCGGGGACUUUUUUUUUGGCCACCCGCAGCAUAUGGAGUUCUGGGCCAGGGAUUAGAUCCCAGUUGCAGGUGCCACCUAGCCUGCAGCUGUGGCAAUGCCAGCUCCUUAAUCCACCGUGCCGGGCUGGGGUUCAAAUCUGCGUCCCAGUGCUCCUAAGACACUGCCGAUCCCAUUGCACCGCAGGGUUUGACUUUUAAUGCAGGGGUGACAGAUGGCUGGUCUGUCCACAUGCUGUCACAUGGGCAGCUCCUACGGGUCACCAGCACCCUUCCUCCGUUUCUUCAAGGGACAAAGCGACUUUGCUCUAGAGCAGAACACUGAUCGUCCCACACAUAUGUCCCUACUUUUGUUGCUGUCGCUGUGAGGUUUUUAAACUGGAGACCAUUUCACUUUCACACACCAACCACAAUGUCGAAUAAAUUGGUUGAACUUGUAGAUUUAUAUCCGCA
rnacentral:lncRNA from 1 species